AACGAACGCUGGCGGCGCGCCUAAUACAUGCAAGUCGAGCGAGAAGGUGUAGCAAUACACUUGUAAAGCGGCGAACGGGUGAGGAAUACAUGGGUAAUCUACCAUCGAGUGGGGAAUAACCAACCGAAAGGUUGGCUAAUACCGCGUACGCCUCCGAGUCUUCGGGUUCGGAGGGAAAGCUGCACUGUGAGUGUAGCGCUCUUUGAUGAGCUCAUGUCCUAUCAGCUUGUUGGUAGGGUAACGGCCUACCAAGGCUUUGACGGGUAGCUGGUCUGAGAGGACGAUCAGCCACACUGGCACUGCGACACGGGCCAGACUCCUACGGGAGGCAGCAGUAAGGAAUAUUGCGCAAUGGGCGAAAGCCUGACGCAGCGACGCCGCGUGGGGAUGAAGGUCUUCGGAUUGUAAACCCCUUUCGGGAGGGAAGAUGGAACGAGCAAUCGUUCGGACGGUACCUCCAGAAGCAGCCACGGCCAACUUCGUGCCAGCAG
rnacentral:rRNA from 1 species